rnacentral:ncRNA from 1 species
GAGAUAGAGGAUGCGCUGGGCCAUCAGUAGCAAUGCAGUGCCAUGCAGGGCAGGCAUAUGUGAAAGGGGCAGGCGCCGAAGUGAAGGCCUUUCUGCAUAGAGGCUUUUGCUGGGAGGACGAAAUAAGAUUCGUUCGACUGUCGCAAAGAAUACAAUAAUUUGCGGAGCGCUAUCC